rnacentral:lncRNA from 1 species
GAAGGAAGACUGAACAUCAUCAAUAUUAAGAACAAGAUUGAGUUACAAACGCGAGACAUCAGUUCACCAAAGAAACCAGGCUAGUACGAUUUUGCACAAACUAAACUAGAAAAAAAACAAUAGAGAGUCUCCACUACAGCUAAAACAACAGAAAGCGCGGCGCCACAUCGCGCUGCAGCUCCUACCUGAAUUUUUUUUCUUUUCCUUUUUUUUUGACUUCCGGUCCUGAAUAACCGCUUUGUUCCUUCAACAGAUGCGAGGUUACCAGUAUAACGAGAGUCCACACAUAUCAUCUUCCCCUUGACAGCCAUAGAGCAAGAGCACAACUGUCACCACCAGGAAUCCGCGUCUCCACCAAAGAGAUGCUGAAGGCCAGGAGGACCAGAAUGCCAGCCCCAGAGAGAAUGCGUCACCAAAUUUGUUUUCCAAAUUGGCAGGUCAGUAGGAUUUGCACAGGGGACUGGGCUAUCUCUGCAGGUGCCAUCUAGAAUUUGCAUGAAACCUUGCGUGGAUAACAGGAAUCAGGGUACACGCCAUCUUCUGAACAUACAUUGUACAGCUUCAUAUAUGCAGACACUUGCUUUGUGGCCUGAAAGAGAAUGUUCAAGUUUAACCUGGGAAGACUUUGUAGUAGACGGCAACAGAAAAAUAUUUUAGAAAUAAGGAGGUAACUGUGUUUCUUUGUCGUGUAUCUUAUCAACUUGAAGAAAAAUGCUACAAAAGAACAGAGCCUUGCUUCAGGAAAAUAUGUGAUGGAUUUUUAAAGUUAAACAACAAUUAUAGAGCUUACCAAAUGCAUAGCCUUUUACAGUUUUACCUUUUGGUUAGUGCAACAUAAACCAAGAAUUAUGUCAGCCGUGCAACAUGUCUUACUACAAAACCCCACCCACCUGUCGCCCUCAAAAAAAAAAACCCCACCCACCUGUCUUUUUAUUGCUAUGAAAAGUACAUCCGUGUUAAUCUUCAGGUGAUUCCUAUCAAAAGUACCUCUGGUGAUUUCUACCACGUCCGACGCACCUCAGAGUUCAAAAUUGCAGGUUUACUGAAGAAUUCAUAAAAUCUAGGACUUAGCUCUGAACUGAGAAGCACAACUGAGCUGGAGAUCUACACGACUCUCAUGAAUUCAUUGCAUUUCUUUCUGACCACAGCAUCCAGAGGAAGGUGACUGAGAAUGUAAGCAUCACUUCCUUUUGCAGACUGUAAAUGAGAGUGCAGUCCAGUGUUCCUCCAAUUGUGGUCACGUUUAGUUCACUCCAAAAUCCCAACUUUAGCACUAUGCAAAAAGAAGAUUCCCUAUCACAUCAAACUUGCGGUACAUGUAUGGAGUACUGAAUGCAGAUGAAAUUAAAAACUAAUUGCACAGUUUUAUUGUAAUUUGCGAGACGAAUCUUUUGAGCCUAAUUAGUCAAUAUUUGGACAAUAAUUCACAAAUACAAACGAAACGCUACAGUGUUGCUACAGUAAUUUUGACACCCCAAAGUUGGGCAACUAAACAAGGCCGUAUUUCCUUCCAGCAGGCUUGAAUUGAAUAUACUUGCAUCUAAGAAAGUGUGCCCCUAUUCAUCAAGUCAAUAUCGAUGUCCCUCCCCAUGAUUUUUGUACGCAAAGGCAGACUGUCAUGUGCUACUCGCCAUAUGAACAUUUUGAUCCUUUUUUUAAAAAAAAAAACUUAUGGAAUUUUGAUCUCUUUUUCUAAAAAAAAUGGACAUUCUGUCAUUCUGAUCUUGAAUUCUUGAUUGGGCAGCGUCAGCUCCAAAUCUUUUUUCCAAGGGGGAGCAGCAGAGAAGGAAACGUGCUUACUAAUGGGCCAGGCCUAACAUGGGCCUACUUACUAGGGACUUAUUCGUAUUCGUAUAUACCCAGCCCGAAAGCCGAAUAACUAUCCCCCACGUGGCCCUGUCCUCCUACGAUUCUGAAGAAAAAAAUCCCCUCCAAAAAAAUAGAAAGAAAGUUACCACUUUAAAAAAACACAAACCGAAAACAUGGCAUAAAACCACCGAUUGCAAGGAUCUGACCUCUAGGGUUUUAGGCUUAUUUUCUCGCCGUCGCCGCCAUGUAUGGGGACUCCGGCGAAGCACCCCCGUGACGCGGCGGCGGCC